AUUGAACGCUGGCGGCAGGCCUAACACAUGCAAGUCGAACGAGCGGCGGACGGGUGAGUAAUGUCUGGGAAAAUGCCUGAUGGAGGGGGAUAACUACUGGAAACGGUGGCUAAUACCGCAUACCAUCAGAUGUGCCCAGAUGGGAUUAGCUUGUUGGUGGGGUAAAUGCUCACCAAGGCGACGAUCCCUAGCGGGGCUGAGAGGAUGAACAGCCACACUGGAACUGAGACACGGUCCAGACUCCUACGGGAGGCAGCAGUGGGGAAUAUUGCACAAUGGGCGCAAGCCUGAUGCAGCCAUGCCGCGUGUAUGAAGAAGUCCUUCGGGUUGUAAAGUACUUUCAGCGGGGAGGCGUUACCCGCAGAAGAAGCACCGGCUAACUCCGUGCCAGCAGCCGCGGUAAUUC
rnacentral:rRNA from 1 species